GAUGAACGCUGGCGGCGUGCCUAAUACAUGCAAGUCGAGCGAACAGACGAGGAGCUUGCUCCUCUGACGUUAGCGGCGGACGGGUGAGUAACACGUGGAUAACCUACCUAUAAGACUGGGAUAACUUCGGGAAACCGGAGCUAAUACCGGAUAAUAUAUUUAACCGCAUGGUUCUAUAUUGAAAGACGGUUUUGCUGUCACUUAUAGAUGGAUCCGCGCCGCAUUAGCUAGUUGGUAAGGUAACGGCUUACCAAGGCAACGAUGCGUAGCCGACCUGAGAGGGAGAACGGCCACACGGGAACUGAGACACGGUCCAGACUCCUAAGGGAGGCAGCAGUAGGGAAUCUUACGCAAUGGGCGAGAGCCUGACGGAGCAACGCCGCGUGAGUGAUGAAGGUCUGCGGAUCGUAAAACGCUGUUAUUAGGGAAGAACAAAUGUGUAAGUAAAUAUGCACGAAUUGACGGUACCUAAUCAGAAAGCCACGGCUAAAUACGUG
rnacentral:rRNA from 1 species